AUUGAACGCUGGCGGCAGGCCUAACACAUGCAAGUCGAACGGUAGCACAGAGAGCUUGCUCUCGGGUGACGAGUGGCGGACGGGUGAGUAAUGUCUGGGAAACUGCCCAAUGGAGGGGGAUAACUACUGGAAACGGUAGCUAAUACCGCAUAACGUCGCAAGACCAAAGUGGGGGACCUUCGGGCCUCACACCAUCGGAUGUGCCCAGAUGGGAUUAGCUAGUAGGUGGGGUAAUGGCUCACCUAGGCGACGAUCCCUAGCUGGUCUGAGAGGAUGACCAGCCACACUGGAACGGAGACACGGUCCAGACUCCUACGGGAGGCAGCAGUGGGGAAUAUUGCACAAUGGGCGCAAGCCUGAUGCAGCCAUGCCGCGUGUAUGAAGAAGGCCUUCGGGUUGUAAAGUACUUUCAGCGGGGAGGAAGGCGGUGAAGUUAAUAACUUCACCGAUUGACGUUACCCGCAGAAGAAGCACCGGCUAACUCCGUGCCAGCCGCCGCAGUAA
rnacentral:rRNA from 1 species